GACGUAGGGCGCGAGCGUUGUCCGGAUUUAUUGGGCGUAAAGAGCUCGUAGGCGGCUUGUCGCGUCGUCCGUGAAAACCUGCGGCUCAACUGCAGGCUGGCGGUCGAUACGGGCAGGCUGGAGUUCGGUAGGGGAGACUGGAAUUCCCGGUGUAGUGGUGAAAUGCGUAGAGAUCGGGAGGAACACCCGUGGCGAAGGCGGCCGACUGGGCCGAUUCUGACGCUGAGGCGCGAAGGCGUGGGGAGCGAACGGG
rnacentral:rRNA from 1 species